GACGAACGCUGGCGGCGUGCUUAACACAUGCGAGUCGAACGGAAAGGCCUUUUCGGAGGUACUCGAGUGGCGAACGGGUGAGUAACACGUGGGUGAUCUGCCCUGCACUCUGGGAUAAGCCUGGGAAACUGGGUCUAAUACCGGAUAGGACCGCACUUUAGUGUGUGUGGUGGAAAGUUUUUUCGGUGUAGGAUGAGCCCGCGGCCUAUCAGCUUGUUGGUGGGGUAAUGGCCUACCAAGGCGGCGACGGGUAGCCGGACUGAGAGGUUGGUCGGCCACAUUGGGACUGAGAUACGGCCCAGACGCCUACGGGAGGCAGCAGUGGGGAAUAUUGCACAAUGGGCGCAAGCCUGAUGCAGCGACGCCGCGUGGGGGAUGACGGCCUUCGGGUUGUAAACUCCUUUCGCCAGGGACGAAGCGUUUUGUGACGGUACCUGGAGAAGAAGCACCGGCUAACUACGUG
rnacentral:rRNA from 1 species